rnacentral:lncRNA from 1 species
CCCACGGUGGCCAGGCACCUCGCCUCCGCCCUGGCUCCGGGAGGCCGGGCGCUGCCUCUGCCGCCUGCCGUGGUGAGGGCGGGGUCCAGUCACCUCCCGUGCGGGGCUGUGGGCGGAAGGAGAAACCGCACACUUUGUGGAAACCUGCUGGAAGAGGGCCAGAGCGCGUGAGAGCCACGGAUUCCGAGAGCGAGGGGCACCCCAUAGACAACUCUUCAGAGGAAAGGAAUAAAUGUGUCAAUGAGAAGUACUGCCGUGGUGAUGUACACCUGUAAUCCCUGCACUCAAGAGGCCGAGGCAGGAGGAUCGUAGAGCGUUCGAGGCCAGCCUCAGCUACCUAGUGUGUCCAAGGCCAGCCGGAACUAUAUAGCAAAGAUGAAAAUAAGUGCUAUGUAAGAAUUCCUUCAUCUUUCAGAUACUGUCAUUGCUAAAAAUUUUCGUACCAAAAAGGGAACUAAUGAAACUAAAUUAAUGAGAAGAAUCUUGAGUCACUGAUAUGUGUGUGUGUGUGUGUGUGUGUGUGUAGGGGUUUGGAUGUGUGUAUAUAAGUAUAUAUUAAAAGUGAGGUCAAUGGAAAAAAAAAAAGUUACCCAUCUAGGCAGGACUAACUGGUAGAAAACAGAAGCUAACAUUCUGUUUACAAGCCAGGCGUGGG